rnacentral:rRNA from 1 species
GACGAACGCUGGCGGCGUGCUUAACACAUGCCAGUCGAACGGUGAAGCGCUUUCCUUUUUGGUUGGUGUGGAUGAGUGGCGAACGGGUGAGUAACACGUGAGUAACCUGCCCCCUUCUUCUGGAUAACCGCAUGAAAGUGUGGCUAAUACGGGAUAUUCUGCGCCUGCUGCAUGGUGGGUGUGGGAAAGAUUGUGCCUUUGGGUGUUUUCGGUGGGGGAUGGGCUCGCGGCCUAUCAGCUUGUUGGUGGGGUGAUGGCCUACCAAGGCGGUGACGGGUAGCCGGCCUGAGAGGGUGGACGGUCACACUGGGACUGAGACACGGCCCAGACUCCUACGGGAGGCAGCAGUGGGGAAUAUUGCACAAUGGGCGCAAGCCUGAUGCAGCGACGCCGCGUGAGGGAGGGAGGCCUUCGGGUUGUGAACCUCUUUCGCCAGUGAAGCAGGCCUGCUCCGUGUGGGUGGGUUGACGGUAGCUGGAUAAGAAGCGCCGGCUAACUACGUG